AUGAUACCAAAAGACCCAACCUUUAUUUCACAUUUUUAUGAAAUUUUUACAGUCCAAGAAUAUCCUGGGUACAAAUUCAUUGGUCUAACAUAUGGGCCUGGAGGUGAUAAUCAAAAGCGAUUAGAGAAGGAAAUUGGUGCCAAGAUAAAAAUUCGUGGAACCAAAGCAGACACAGGAGAGAAAAGUGAAAUUAAACCAGCUGCUAGUUCCACACCUUCUGUAUCUGUCUUUGGGGACAGCACUAAUGGUCUAAAUCAAAACCAAGAUCCCCCAUCUCAUGCAAUUUCUCUAUCUCUGUCAAACCGGGCUGUGUUUCAACCAGCAGCCACUACACAAAUGCAGAGGACGUAA